rnacentral:rRNA from 1 species
ACUGAGGCGUGACGACGAGGCACUACGGUGCUGAAGCAACAAAUGCCCUGCUUCCAGGAAAAGCCUCUAAGCAUCAGGUAACAUCAAAUCGUACCCCAAACCGACACAGGUGGUCAGGUAGAGAAUACCAAGGCGCUUGAGAGAACUCGGGUGAAGGAACUAGGCAAAAUGGUGCCGUAACUUCGGGAGAAGGCACGCUGACACGUAGGUGAAGUGAUUUACUCAUGGAGCUGAAGUCAGUCGAAGAUACCAGCUGGCUGCAACUGUUUAUUAAAAACACAGCACUGUGCAAACACGAAAGUGGACGUAUACGGUGUGACGCCUGCCCGGUGCCGGAAGGUUAAUUGAUGGGGUCAGCGCAAGCGAAGCUCCUGAUCGAAGCCCCGGUAAACGGCGGCCGUAACUAUAACGGUCCUAAGGUAGCGAAAUUCCUUGUCGGGUAAGUUCCGACCUGCACGAAUGGCGUAAUGAUGGCCAGGCUGUCUCCACCCGAGACUCAGUGAAAUUGAACUCGCUGUGAAGAUGCAGUGUACCCGCGGCAAGACGGAAAGACCCCGUGAACCUUUACUAUAGCUUGACACUGAACAUUGAGCCUUGAUGUGUAGGAUAGGUGGGAGGCUUUGAAGUGUGGACGCCAGUCUGCAUGGAGCCGACCUUGAAAUACCACCCUUUAAUGUUUGAUGUUCUAACGUGGACCCGUGAUCCGGGUUGCGGACAGUGUCUGGUGGGUAGUUUGACUGGGGCGGUCUCCUCCUAAAGAGUAACGGAGGAGCACGAAGGUUGGCUAAUCCUGGUCGGACAUCAGGAGGUUAGUGCAAUGGCAUAAGCCAGCUUGACUGCGAGCGUGACGGCGCGAGCAGGUGCGAAAGCAGGUCAUAGUGAUCCGGUGGUUCUGAAUGGAAGGGCCAUCGCUCAACGGAUAAAAGGUACUCCGGGGAUAACAGGCUGAUACCGCCCAAGAGUUCAUAUCGACGGCGGUGUUUGGCACCUCGAUGUCGGCUCAUCACAUCCUGGGGCUGAAGUAGGUCCCAAGGGUAUGGCUGUUCGCCAUUUAAAGUGGUACGCGAGCUGGGUUUAGAACGUCGUGAGACAGUUCGGUCCCUAUCUGCCGUGGGCGCUGGAGAACUGAGGGGGGCUGCUCCUAGUACGAGAGGACCGGAGUGGACGCAUCACUGGUGUUCGGGUUGUCAUGCCAAUGGCACUGCCCGGUAGCUAAAUGCGGAAGAGAUAAGUGCUGAAAGCAUCUAAGCACGAAACUUGCCCCGAGAUGAGUUCUCCCUGAGACUUAAAGUCUCCUGAAGGAACGUUGAAGACGACGACGUUGAUAGGCCGGGUGUGUAAGCGCAGCGAUGCGUUGAGCUAACCGGUACUAAUGAACCGUGAGGCUUAACCUUACAACGCCGAAG